rnacentral:rRNA from 1 species
CCUACGGGAGGCAGCAGUGGGGAAUAUUGCACAAUGGGCGCAAGCCUGAUGCAGCAACGCCGCGUGAGGGACGACGGCCUUCGGGUUGUAAACCUCUUUUAGUAGGGAAGAAGCGAAAGUGACGGUACCUGCAGAAAAAGCACCGGCUAACUACGUGCCAGCAGCCGCGGUAAUACGUAGGGUGCAAGCGUUGUCCGGAAUUAUUGGGCGUAAAGAGCUCGUAGGCGGUUUGUCGCGUCUGCUGUGAAAACCCGAGGCUCAACCUCGGGCCUGCAGUGGGUACGGGCAGACUAGAGUGCGGUAGGGGAGAUUGGAAUUCCUGGUGUAGCGGUGGAAUGCGCAGAUAUCAGGAGGAACACCGAUGGCGAAGGCAGAUCUCUGGGCCGUAACUGACGCUGAGGAGCGAAAGCAUGGGGAGCGAACAGGAUUAGAUACCCUGGUAGUCCAUGCCGUAAACGUUGGGAACUAGAUGUAGGGACCAUUCCACGGUUUCUGUGUCGCAGCUACGCAUUAGUUCCCGUCCGUCGGGAGGUACGGCCGCGACGGACGUAAACCUAACAAGAAGUUAGACGGCGUGAGACGUGCCGAACGGACGACCGACGAGGGAGGUAGG